rnacentral:rRNA from 1 species
UACGGAGGAUCCGAGCGUUAUCCGGAUUUAUUGGGUUUAAAGGGUGCGCAGGCGGGAGAUUAAGUCGGCGGUGAAAUUUUGCAGCUCAACUGUAAAAGUGCCUUCGAAACUGGUUUCCUUGAGUGUAGAUGAAGUAGGCGGAAUUUGUGGUGUAGCGGUGAAAUGCAUAGAUAUCACGAGGAACUCCGAUUGCGCAGGCAGCUUACUAAACUACUACUGACGCUCAGGCACGAAGGCGUGGGGAUCAAACAGGAUUAGAUACCCUUGUA